AGUGAACGCUGGCGGUAGGCCUAACGCAUGCAAGUCGAACGGCAGCACAGGAGAGCUUGCUCUCUGGGUGGCGAGUGGCGGACGGGUGAGGAAUACAUCGGAAUCUACUCUGUCGUGGGGGAUAACGUAGGGAAGCUUACGCUAAUACCGCAUACGACCUACGGGUGAAAGCAGGGGAUCUUCGGACCUUGCGCGAUUGAAUGAGCCGAUGUCGGAUUAGCUAGUUGGCGGGGUAAAGGCCCACCAAGGCGACGAUCCGUAGCUGGUCUGAGGGGAGGAUCAGCGACACUGGAACUGAGACACGGUCCAGACUCCUACGGGAGGCAGCAGUGGGGAAUAUUGGACAAUGGGCGCAAGCCUGAUCCAGCCAUACCUCGUGGGUGAAGAAGGCCUUCGGGUUGUAAAGCCCUUUUGUUGGGAAAGAAAUCCAGCUGGCUAAUACCCGGUUGGGAUGACGGUACCCAAAGAAUAAGCACCGGCUAACUUCGUGCCAGCCGCCGCAGUAA
rnacentral:rRNA from 1 species